UCCGGGCGGACGCCGAGUCCUGCCGCCGCCCGGAUGACCGGUCGACAGGAGUGGAUCGGCAGGAGUGGAGGACCCGAGCAAGACGGGUCGCCGGUACGGACGUUCGUUCGAACCGAGCAACCCUUGGGGUGAAGCCGCGACAGAGCGGCCGGGCAACUUCGCCAGCCCGAAUCCGACAGGUCAUCCUUCACAGGCGGCUGACGAAGGGUUG
rnacentral:sRNA from 2 species